rnacentral:rRNA from 1 species
GAUGAACGCUGCCGCCUGCCUUAUUCCUUCAAGUUCAGCCGACAGACCAGGAGCUUUCUUCCCUUACGUUUGCGGCCGACCGGUGAGUUACCCCUUGAUUACCUACCCUUAAGACUUGGAUUACUUCCGGAAACCCGGGCCUAUUCCCGAUUAUUUUUUUGACCCCAUGGUUUCAUAGUGAAAGACCGUUUUUCCUUUACUUAUUAGUGGAUUCCGCGCCGCAUUAGCUAGUUGGUAAGGUAACGGCUUACCAAGGCAACGAUGCGUAGCCGACCUGAGAGGGUGAUCGGCCACACUGGAACUGAGACACGGUCCAGACUCCUACGGGAGGCAGCAGUAGGGAAUCUUCCGCAAUGGGCGAAAGCCUGACGGAGCAACGCCGCGUGAGUGAUGAAGGUCUUCGGAUCGUAAAACUCUGUUAUUAGGGAAGAACAAAUGUGUAAGUAACUAUGCACGUCUUGACGGUACCUAAUCAGAAAGCCACGGCUAACUACGUG